CCUCCUUUCUUGCGCGUGCGUGCAGCUUCUUUGCUCAGCCGCGGACGUGGAGGAACUGUGGGCCCGAGGGUCCAUAGAUGACUUGUCAGUAGAUAGUCAUUUAUUUUAUUGUUCGAAGAAAACAAAUAAGGGUGCAGCCUAGACGAAAAGAAAAAUAUUUUAUUGCCAGUGUCUAAACUCCUAAGAACGGAAUGUGUCUGAGACCAUGUGUAUGGAUACACGUGUACUUAAAACAGCCCCGCCUGUGUGUAGAGCACUUGCUGUAUGUCAACGCUUUACAAGAACUAUUGCACUUAAGCCUCAGAACAACUUUAUGAGGCCUCUAUUUCUAACAGGCUUAUUUAUGUGUAUUCUUAUUCAAUCCUGGAUUGGAUUCAUAAAAUUGGACAGUGUUGUAGGUACUGAAUGAUGUAGGCAUGCUGAAAGCCACAAAAGUGAGAAAUGACUACACUACAAGAAUGUUAAAGAAAGUCAUUCAGACAGCAAGGAAAUGAUACCAGAUGGAAAAACAGAUCUACACAGAGGAAUGAUGAGCACUGGAAAAGAUUUUGUGUAUGGAGGAGUGUGUGUGCACAGAGAGAGGGAGCACCUAAGUGAGCAAUAACACUCAGCUAGAUAUCCAAAUCCAUGCUCUCAUUUCUUGUUGGCCACACAGUGUCCCAAUGAUGCACAACUUCAGAAGGCAGGCACUAUUUACAUUGUAAUGCAUGUAAAUGGCGUUUCCUGAAGCAGGAUUAAGAAGCUACAGGAUUGGUUCCUGGAAGUGGAACUACUAUAUCAAAGCUUUGGACAUUUUUAAGACCCCAGAAAGGUAUACCUAGUUUCAAAAAGGAGGGGAAAGCAAGAUUUAAUCAUCUCCUGCCCUCAUCUGUCUUCUGAAAUCAAAUCUUUAUAAAGGUGCUUUAAAAAAAUUUUUUUUUCACUGAAAGAAUACACAGACACUUCAGUCUUAUGAAGGGACCAAACAUGCAACAUAUUUUCAUUCCUUAUCAAGGAAGCAGGAUUUACUGACCAAAAUGAUACGCUCAGAACACCACUCUGUCUUCAGUCACUCAUCACUGUCCUUGAAAGGUUCCUCAGACUCCUCUCCUCCUAAAUUCGGACACUUCCUAGGAUUCUUUUUUCAGACCUCUUCUCACGUGACACACGUUCUGGUCCAUCUUACACAUUCCCAUAACUUGUUACCACCUACAUUUUAAUGACUCCAGAGAGCCAGACUUUACUGCCAACCCUGCUGGGAUAGUUGGCUGAUAGCUCCAAUUCUACAGGAACAAAACAGGGUUCCUCCUCCUGAGGUCCACUCCUCCUCCCAGUCCACACACUAGACCAGAAACCUGGGGAUCCCCUGUCUUUGUACCACACAACCAGUUUCCACCAAUUCAUUUUAACUACUUUUCUUGAAUCCAUCUUCUCUCUAGUCCCACUGUUAUUAGGUACACAGCUGUGGUCCUGAUCCCUUCUUACUUUGAUCACAGGCUGUUUUACAUUCCAUCUUCAAGUUUCCAGGACCCCAACCAAUGUCAUCAUUUCAGAGACCCGUAAUCUGUUCAUACCUGACCAUGCAUUUCCAUUAAAAUAUCCUUUCUUUCUUCUCCCUUUCCUAUAGGUGUUAAUCCUGAGGCCCAAUAGUCUUUUACUUACAAACCCCUUGACAAUGUAUGCAAAAUUGUCAUAUGGGUCUAUAUGUAUGUUUUUAUGAGGAGAGGCCACAUUACUUUCCAUAGGUUCUCAAAAGGAUAUGUGUCUGCAAAUGGUUAAAAACUUGUAGGUCUCAGGCUAAAGUCUUAACUCCUGGCCUUUGUCCAGCUUCCUUUCUCAUGCUCAUCUUCACUCCCCUCUUGCCCCAUGCUUCUGUCCCUGUAGUUCCAGGCCUUUGUACAUGUUGCCUUUACUUGUUCAGCUUGGGAGGCCCUCUCCUUUCCUAGCUGGCCUAACUUCUGCCAUCCAGGAAACUACCUUCUCUCUUUUGAGAAACACCUCAGGUCAUACUACCUACACAAAACUGUGCGGGGCCAGGCAAGCUGGGUGUCAACUGUUGGCACCGUGAAGCCAGCCUAGCAAUUGCUCUUUUUUAGCAUUUACUCCCUGGAUUUCCAAACUGGGAUGAUGAUGGUGGGGGUAGGGUGGGGGGCAGGGAGUGGGAGAAAAGAAAAAAAUAAAACCUAUAA